AUUGAACGCUGGCGGCAGGCCUAACACAUGCAAGUCGAGCGGUAGCACAGAGAGCUUGCUCUCGGGUGACGAGCGGCGGACGGGUGAGUAAUGUCUGGGAAACUGCCUGAUGGAGGGGGAUAACUACUGGAAACGGUAGCUAAUACCGCAUAACGUCGCAAGACCAAAGUGGGGGACCUUCGGGCCUCAUGCCAUCAGAUGUGCCCAGAUGGGAUUAGCUAGUAGGUGGGGUAACGGCUCACCUAGGCGACGAUCCCUAGCUGGUCUGAGAGGAUGACCAGCCACACUGGAACUGAGACACGGUCCAG
rnacentral:rRNA from 1 species